GUCAGGUGACGGGCACGCUAUGUCACUGGCUGUCAGCUGGCUUUCUAUUGGAGCACUCACACUGUUCUCAACAUUACCAUAAGCUGAUGAGGAACGCUCGAGCCCGUCUCAGCGCACACACUCUGAUCUGCAGCUCUGAUGUCACAUCGGGAGACUCAGACCGUGUCAACUCCAAAGCACAUAAAUCUGAAGACCCAUCUUUUUUGGGCUUCCAUUCACUAUAAGCGACCACAGGAAAUAGAAUUUAUCCAGAGUGGAUGAACGUCGUCAUGUGGGGAUCCUGUUUGAGAUGGAGGGGACGUGAACUGCGCUCGAUCCCUAGCUGCUGUUCGUGGCUGUACUGUCAACAUGCUCGGCCACGCGGAGGAGAGGAGAGCUGACACCAACACUUGCCAGGGAUCUUAAACCCAACUGCUUUCCUUUCAUUUCUCCUCUUUUCUCAGAAAGAGCCGCUACAUUCGUGUGAGAGCUGGUUCUCCAUCGCUGUGUGCUGAAAUAACCAGGUAACAACAAGUGCUAACCACCGGGACUCCACUCUACAUACCUGUGCUAACCUCCACACUGUAAGCAUGUCUCCCUCUCUUAAGUCUCAAGCAUGUGUUAAACUGUGAGAACACUUGACUGCAUGACUAUGUCCUCAAACGAAUCUUGAAAUAGCCAGUUUGCCUGCGUCUUUGUGUGCAUCAGAAUAGUUUUAUGGUUAGAAUGAAAGUGAAAUGCCAGAAAUUUUUAAUGUUGGUCAUGGGAAUCAAGAAAUUGAAGCUUGUUGUUGUUACACUCAUUUAAAGUCAAUGUGGAUACACUUAAUAUAGUAUAUUAGUGUAAAAGUAACUGUAAAGUUAUGGAAGAUAAUUGCCUUUUCCAUAUAAAAUAUAACAUAUUGGUCAUUUCAGAAUUUGUGAAGAAAUUCAGUUCCAUCUUAUAUAGUUUAUUCACUGAAAUAUUAAUGGUCUUAUGUAACCUUGUGUUGUUUUGAAUCUAGUUUACAUGUGCAUAGUACAGGCCUACCAGGAUCUGCACAUAGAGGUCAAGUUACACAAGGCCUGUUUGAUUUA